CUGGGCGCGCGGGGAGGGGGCGAGGCCUGAGGCAGCCAGGUCCCUGGAGGGGGGGCGUGGGGCGCGGGCUGGCUGGAAGGGAAGGAGACACCCGGUAGCGCGCGCGCGCCAAGCCCUGAACUGGCGUCCUCUGUUCGCCUCAAGUUUUUUCCCCGACUUCUACGGGACGAGCUCCCUUAGGGAAUAUUUGAAUCCACCCCCAACCCCAAAAAAGUUGAUAAGCAUUGCCAUUCAAAUUGUGUGUGUUGUGUGCGCCACAUCUUUUGGGGCAGGGCUUACCUGGGGAUAGUACCGGAUUAAACCCUGUGGAGGCCCCCCUCUAGGUAGUCGAAAUAUUGGGGCCCCCGCCUGCAAAUGGUCUCCUUUUUAAAAUAAAUUUAUUUAUUUGAUUUUUUCAGAUUAAGAUUUUACAGUCACAUAUCCAGCAUACCACAUAAAAACAAGUUACCAAAGAAUCUCAUGGACCUCCCUCUUCCUCUUUGUGGGUCCUAUAGUUAAUCAUUUCCUCCUGCAUCUUUUAUGAUCAUCCAAAAUCUUUUACCACUCCAUUGUGUCCAAAAUUCGCCAUUAAACUACAAGUGACAUUCCAAUCCUACGAACGACUUUAACUGUUUACAAUGGUUUUUAAGAUAAGUUAUAAUUCCCCCCCUUCCUUAUUAAAAUUUUGGGCUUUCUGAUUUCUGAUUCUUCUGGUCAUUUCUGCCAUUUUGGCAAAGUCCAUCAAUUGAUCUGCCUUUCUUCUCUGGUAGGGACUUCUUUCCAUCUCUGGGCCAAUAACAUCCGCGCAGCCGUGGUCACAUACAUAAAUAAUCUUUUCUGCUCCCUUGGGAUUUUGGCAACUAGAAUUCCUAAAAGAAGGGUUUCGGGUUGUUUUUUUUAAAAGAAUAUGUUAUUUUAAACAUUUUUUCCAGCUCAUUAUAUAUCAUUUCCCAAAAUUAUUUUACUACCUUACAUUCCCACCACAUAUGAUAAAAGGUGCCUUCUUUUUCCUUGCAUUUCCAGCAUACAUUUGACCCCGUUUUAUCAAUUUUUGCUAAUUUACUAGGAGUUAAAUAUCAACGGUACAUAAUUUUCAUAUAAUUUUCUUUCAACGUGUAAUUUAAAAUGCACAGCAUGUUACCCGCAAAUGAUCUCCUAAUACGUUUUUUUAUUUUUACCGAACAACCAUUUUAACUCACCAAUUUUAUUACACAAUAUUAUUUUGAUCUGUUUCGAGGGGCCCCUAAAAGGCAUGGGGCCCAUAGGCUGAAGCCGGCUUUCUGCCUAUUUGGUAAUCUGGCACUGUCUGCCACCACCACCACCCGCCAUAUUUUAUUCAAGUUGGCACCCCUGGUCUGACGUGGCAGGAAAUGUUGCCCUGAGCCUGUCGGUUAUUACCCUGUAACAAGAGCGGUUUAAGCCAGAUCUCGACUGAGGGCCAUUCAGUUCAAUGGGACUUGCUUUUGAGGGGCUAUGAAGGCCGCAGUCCUAUGUGCAUGCCACCCAGGAAUAAGUCCCACUGAAGCCACUUGGAGUUACAGUACUUCAAAGUAAAACGAAGAAAUAUUAAAUUGUAUAGAUUUGGGGCUUGAUCUUACAACCCUGAAACUGGGAGCCUCGUGCUCUACCGACUGAGCUUACAGAACCUCCCUGUAAUGAGCAAAACCUAGCAAAUAUAAAUAUUAUUUUUAAAGGGCCUUUCUCCCCCCCCCCCACAGAGCUCAGCUCCAGCACCUCUUAGGUGGGCGUCAUUGCCAUUCUAAGAGAACAAGAGAGAUGAGCUCCAAGACCUGUUUUUUAAGGAAAAUAGCACUGGUUAAAAAGCAGCGUAAACAGACUGUGCAUUUCAGAUGUGCACAAGCCAUGCAGGAGUUUGUGCAGUUUAGCAUGUGCUAGGGAAAGCAGAAUGUCUAGAGAUGCACUUGCAAAGUGCCUAUUUUUGGUGACAGAAUUAAAAGAAUAACACAGCUGCUUCUCAGUGCCGUGUUUUAAGUUUCACUUGGUUAAUAGUACAAUUCUGUAUGCCCCACUGACUUCAUGGGAUUUGUUUCUUGGUGCAAAGGUAGUUAACCCCUCAUUUGGGGUAUUGAUGUGCUCUAUGCCACUCUAGUGAUUUUGGCUGCGGCAACCUUUUUUU